UACGUAGGCAGCGAGCGGUGUUCGGAGUUACUGGGCGUAAAGGGUGUGUAGGCGGUGUGUCGCGUCGGCCGUGAAAACCUGCAGCUUAACUGUGGGCGUGCGGUCGAUACGGGCAUCACUGGAGUUCGGCAGGGGAGACUGGAAUUCCUGGUGUAGCGGUGAAAUGCGCAGAUAUCAGGAGGAACACCGGUGGCGAAGGCGGGUCUCUGGGCCGAUACUGACGCUGAGGAGCGAAAGCGUGGGGAGCGAACAGG
rnacentral:rRNA from 1 species